GACGAACGCUGGCGGCGUGCUUAACACAUGCAAGUCGAACGGAAAGGCCCUGCUUUUGUGGGGUGCUCGAGUGGCGAACGGGUGAGUAACACGUGAGUAACCUGCCCUUGACUUUGGGAUAACUUCAGGAAACUGGGGCUAAUACCGGAUAGGAGCUCCUGCUGCAUGGUGGGGGUUGGAAAGUUUCGGCGGUUGGGGAUGGACUCGCGGCUUAUCAGCUUGUUGGUGGGGUAGUGGCUUACCAAGGCUUUGACGGGUAGCCGGCCUGAGAGGGUGACCGGCCACAUUGGGACUGAGAUACGGCCCAGACUCCAACGGGAGGCAGCAGUGGGGAAUAUUGCACAAUGGGCGGAAGCCUGAUGAAGCAACGCCGCGUGCGGGAUGACGGCCUUCGGGUUGUAAACCGCUUUCGCCUGUGACGAAGCGUGAGUGACGGUAAUGGGUAAAGAAGCACCGGCUAACUACGUG
rnacentral:rRNA from 1 species